UACGUAGGGUGCGAGCGUUAAUCGGAAUUACUGGGCGUAAAGCGUGCGCAGGCGGUGAUGUAAGACAGUUGUGAAAUCCCCCGGGCUCAACCUGGGAACUGCAUCUGUGACUGCAUCGCUGGAGUGCGGCAGAGGGGGAUGGAAUUCCGCGUGUAGCAGUGAAAUGCGUAGAUAUGCGGAGGAACACCGAUGGCGAAGGCAAUCCCCUGGGCCUGCACUGACGCUCAUGCACGAAAGCGUGGGGAGCAAACAGG
rnacentral:rRNA from 1 species